ensembl:lncRNA
CCCGGGAAAGGAAAUCUGGGGCCCCCUGCUUGAGCUGCUCCCCCCGCGACCCGACCCCGGAUAAGCGGAUGACGAUGAGGAAUUCUCUAUCUAGCAGGCAACAGGAAAAACCAACAAGAACAACCAGAAACAACCUUUGCCAACAGAAAGUGGGCAAAAUAAGGUAAUCAGUGAGCACAGCUUAAACCAGCCAAGUCCAAACACACUCAAGGAGAGAUCUCCUGCACGGCAGUGGAGCUGCCUUGUCAUGUUCUUUGACGGCAACUUCAGCAAUAAACUGGAUUUCCACCAGCCUGCGUCCCGGGUUUGAGGGGUCCAGAAAAGUUGCAGCCUGAGAAACCGUCCUGCUGCUUGUGGAACUUCCACUGGAACUUCCCCUCCGUGUCGUCACCGCUGAAAGUGGUGCUGCUGAGCGGCGGGCGAGCGCAAGUUAUUACAUCUCCUACGCUCCGGGGACAGCGGUCCACACUUAACGUACUUCCUGAGAUUAACAAAGAAGACGCAGAAGCUCAUGAUACGUUUGGUCAUUCGCGCAAAGAACGCAAUAGCUCAGGGAUCUAUCUCAAAGAUCGUCGCCAUCCAUAUCGCUGGUGUGGAUUCGAAAGCACUGCUUGGAAUCGCAUUGUUCUUAUACCGUCUCAGCUGGAAGUCAUGGAGUGGUCCUUCGUGAAGUUGUAUCUCAUCGGAUGGGCGUUGAGCGCCUUCACGGUCUUCUUCUCCUUGAUGGACUCCUUCGGUGGACUCAUGUACGGCCAGGAUGACCUUAGGGUGUGGGCCCAGGACCACCAGAGACCACUCACCGCCCCCAGCAGUAGGACAGGACCGACAGGAGCGAAAGACGAGGACUCGUCGUAAAUGGGAGACCUACACAUGGAGGGAAUUGUAUAGCCGAUGAAGAGCAGGUGUCAGAUGGCGCAUUUGUGUCACACACUAACCCACUGUCCUUAUUCUUUAAAGAAACACAUUGUUUCUUGCACUAAGUCUGUUACUUGUAUAUAUGUAUUACCUUAAUGUAUGGAUCAGAAUGACCAAGUCCAAGGCUUAGGUGCUGUAAAUGUAAAAAUACUGUGUGUGUUAAGUCGUAUUAUUUAAAUAUUUAUUAUAUUCUGAUAAAUGUGUGAAACACUGUAAUGGGUCUAAGUAAUGGGUCACUGUAAUGGGUUAAAGUCAAACACUGUUUGACUUGCAACCCUAUCCAAGAAUCAGUUUUCUAUACCCAACAAAGGUUGUCAAAGUCUAAUAAGACUAUAAGGCAAAUGUGGCUCACUUUCCUUAUUGUUGAUAUUUUACAUAUUAAAGUUGUAUAACAACCUACAAGUGUGUUGAUGUCUCAUAAUCACUGAUUUAUUGUAAAUGUAUUGUCUAUAAUAUGGAAAGUUUUGUUAUAACAAGUUCUGAUUCCCUGGAUGUCGACAGAAACACGUGUGUACGGCAUGUGUACGUGUGUAUGUACGUGUGCGUGUACUGCUUCUAGAGGAAACCUCUGGACUCCUCUACACUUCUGCUCUCCUCUGCCGCGGCCUCUCCUUUCCUAGGGCCCUAUGAAAUCCGCGAUAACGAAAACGCGGACGGAAUCACGGAAUUGGACAAUAAAAACGGAAUCAACUGAUUUUUUUUUUUUUAUUAUUUUAUUAAGCAGGAAAGUAUUAAAAGUAACAAAGUUACAAUUUAAAACGGGCCUGUCUUAGUAAAAUAACUGAUUUCCAGCAGGUUCCUGUUCUUCAGCACAUAUAACAUGCAACAGGGACAAGGCACAUCAGACGUCACAUUUAC